rnacentral:rRNA from 1 species
UGGGGAAUAUUGGACAAUGGGCGAAAGCCUGAUCCAGCCAUGCCGCGUGUGUGAAGAAGGUCUUCGGAUUGUAAAGCACUUUAAGUUGGGAGGAAGGGUACUUACCUAAUACGUGAGUAUUUUGACGUUACCGACAGAAUAAGCACCGGCUAACUCUGUGCCAGCAGCCGCGGUAAUACAGAGGGUGCAAGCGUUAAUCGGAAUUACUGGGCGUAAAGCGCGCGUAGGUGGUUUGUUAAGUUGGAUGUGAAAGCCCCGGGCUUAACCUGGGAACUGCAUCCAAAACUGGAAAGCUAGAGUAUGGUAGAGGGGGGUGGAAUUUCCUGUGUAGCGGUGAAAUGCGUAGAGAUGGGGAGGAACACCAGUGGCGAAGGCGACCACCCGGACUGAUACUGACACUGAGGUGCGAAAGCGUGGGGAGCAAACA